GGUGGGGUGGCCGAGCGGCUGAUGGCACCGGUCUUGAAAACCGGUGUACCCGCAAGGGUACCGCGGGUUCGAAUCCCGCCCCCACCG
rnacentral:tRNA from 1 species